UACGUAGGGGGCGAGCGUGUCCGGAUUUAUUGGGCGUAAAGAGCUCGUAGGCGGUUCGAUAAGUCGGAUGUGAAAUCUCCACGCUUAACGUGGAGGGUGCAUUCGAUACUGUCGUGACUAGAGUCCGGUAGAGGAGACUGGAAUUCCUGGUGUAGCGGUGGAAUGCGCAGAUAUCAGGAGGAACACCGGUGGCGAAGGCGGGUCUCUGGGCAGUAACUGACGCUGAGGAGCGAAAGCUGGGGAGCAACGG
rnacentral:rRNA from 1 species